GACGAACGCUGGCGGCGUGCUUAACACAUGCAAGUCGAACGAAGUGGCGAACGGGUGAGUAACGCGUAAUCAACCUGCCCUUCAGAGGGGGACAACAGUUGGAAACGACUGCUAAUACCGCAUACUGAAGGAGGGGAUUGCGUCUGAUUAGCUAGUUGGAGGGGUAACGGCCCACCAAGGCGAUGAUCAGUAGCCGGGCUGGGAGGAGGAACGGCCACAGUGGGACGGGGACACGGGGCAGAGGCGGACGGGAGGGAGGAGGGGGGAAUCGUCCGCAAUGGACGAAAGUCUGACGGAGCAACGCCGCGUGAGUGAUGACGGCCUUCGGGUUGUAAAGCUCUGUUAAUCGGGACGCGGUACCGGAAUAGAAAGCCACGGCUAACUACGUGCCAGCAGCCGCGGUAAUAC
rnacentral:rRNA from 1 species